AAAUGAUAUACCACAAAAUUAUUAUUUGAAAAAUUAAAAAUCCUGUAAAAUUCGUUAGAAAACAAUCAUUUUGGAUUUUAAAUUGAAUCAAACUCAAUGAUAUUUUUUAAAUCAGUAUAUAAAAAAUCAUUAAUGCUUUGAUAAUUAAAUCUGUGUGGCAUUUAUGCUCUUUGUAUGAAAACAUCAAAUCCAUACAACAUAUGAGAUGGGUUUAGAAUUGAAUUGAAUUAUUCACAUAAAAGACAGGAUUGAUCUAUUUGGUUUUCUUCCAUAAACUCUUAGCUAUAGUAUAUUUCUUGUUAUCUGAAAAAGUAAAAUUUGAAUAUUGUGAAUUGACCGAUUUCAUGGGAAACGCCCACUGCCAUGACGUCACAAAAUGGCAUCUGUACGACGGAAACAAAUCGCAUGCGGUCGCGUGCUUCAGCGUUGUACCAUGACGUCUCUUCAAAAUUUAAAUAAAUUUACCAUCAAAAUAGGCUUUAACUACUUUAAACGCCAUUCGAACAACACAAGAAGAUCAAAAGAAGGUGGUUUUUCCUAUUUUAGUGCAAGUUAUAUACAUGAAUCGAAAGAAAAUAUAUUAUCGGCCAAAUGCUGACGUUCUCAAAGAAAGAGGAGGAACCAUAUAAAUAGAACUAUUGUUUGAAACCGAUGUUACUUUGAAAUUAAUGAAUGCACGUUGUUUCUGUGCUGCUGAGUAAGUUUUAAAUUUACAAUAUAAUUAGAGUGACC
rnacentral:lncRNA from 1 species